rnacentral:rRNA from 1 species
AUGCUUGGGCUGCGUCACUGGGUCACGACGGUGCCGGAGGAUGAGGACGGCGAGGUCGGGUGCCGCGGCACCGCAUUGGCCGCGGCCGGUGAAGGGGGCGAAGAAGGGCUGCUUCCCUGGCCCUGGCUGUGGCCGUGGCCCUGGGAGUUGGUGCGGUGGAAGCAACACUUGAAGGACCCAACGUGGGUGGCCGCCGCACAGACGCACUUGGAAGCGGGCCCGUGGCCCGCGCCGGACGGCGCCGACGCCGACCCGGGCCACCUCCUCCGCGUAUUCUUGGAGCUGUGGCUGUUCGAUUUGCAUGAAAUUAAUUCCCUCAGUUGUGGUGGCAAAUAUAAUACACAUAAUCCAUAUUGUUAUGCACUAGCGUGUGUGUGUGUGAAAUAG